AACAAAAGGGGUUAAAAAGUAUUAUUAGUUAAAGUUAAUGCUUAUAUUUAAAGUCGAAAAAUAUUAUUGUUGUUAGGUGAAAUUUUAAAAUAUGUUAUAGGCUUUAGUUGUAUCAAAUGAAGCUGUGAAAGUUAGUCAAUAAACUAGGAUUAGAUACCCUAUUAUUCUAAUUGUUAUGAAAAAAGGCUUGAGUAGUAAUAGUUAUGUUCUUAAAACUCAAAGAAUUUGGCGGUGUUUUAGUCUUAUCAGAGGAAUUUGCCCCGUGAUCGAUAACCCACGUUUUACUUUACUUAGCUUGGUUUACAGCUUGUAUACCGCCGUCAGCAGGAUAUAUUAGGAAAUAAUAUUCAGGAAUUAUAAAUAUAACAUAUGUCAGGUCAAGGUGCAGUUUAUGGUUAAGAGGAGGUGAAUUACAAUAUAAAGAUAUAUUACGGAGUUGGGAGUGUAAACUUCUAAUAAAGGUGGAUUUGGGUGUAAUAAAAUAUAGAUAGAUUUUAUGAUAUAAAGCUCUAAAACAUGCACACAUCGCCCGUCGCUCUCAUUUUAAGGUGAG
rnacentral:rRNA from 2 species